rnacentral:rRNA from 1 species
UACGGAGGGUGCAAGCGUUGCUCGGAAUUAUUGGGCGUAAAGCGCGUGUAGGCGGCUAUUUAAGUCUAGUGUGAAAUCCCGGGGCUUAACCCCGGAACUGCGCCGGAUACUGGAUAGCUGGAGGGCGAGAGAGGAUGGUGGAAUUCCUGGUGUAGGGGUGAAAUCCGUAGAUAUCAGGAGGAACAUCAGUGGCGAAGGCGGCCAUCUGGCUCGCACCUGACGCUGAGACGCGAAAGCGUGGGGAGCAAACAGG